UUUACUAGUUUAUACUACCUUUUUGAAACCAAGUUUGACUUUUAUCACCCUAAAUCAAAAUUCCUUAAAACACGCUUUAUACUUUAGAUAACGCACCAAAAUCACACAGAACACACACUUUUUAACUAGCUGCGACGUUUUUCGACCCCCAAAAGCCCAAGCGGUAUUGCUAAAUUAGCCCACUACAUAUAUCAAUAGUAUAGCACGCGAGUCUCUUCUAUUUCUCAAUUCCAAUUUAUUUUAGGCCCAUCCUAAUAUUUGACAAUUUAACGAACUCCUUGAUGAUGUCUUUUUUUUUUUUUUUCUUUUUUAUCAAACCAUUCCAUUUCAUUAAAACUUUAAACAACAGAGUUUCUAGUUCCUAAAGA
rnacentral:lncRNA from 1 species